UACGAAGGGUGCAAGCGUUACUCGGGAUUACUGGGCGUAAAGCGUGCGUAGGUGGUUUGUUAAGUCUGAUGUGAAAGCCCUGGGCUCAACCUGGGAAUUGCAUUGGAUACUGGCAGGCUAGAGUGCGGUAGAGGAUGGCGGAAUUCCCGGUGUAGCAGUGAAAUGCGUAGAGAUCGGGAGGAACAUCUGUGGCGAAGGCGGCCAUCUGGACCAGCACUGACACUUAACUACGAAAGCGUGGGGAGCAAACAGG
rnacentral:rRNA from 1 species